ACACAAAGAAAAUAACCAAGCUAGUUCCCUUUUCCACGGAGCAGCUUGAUGAGAAGAGCGUGACAGGAGAGGGAAUACGGCGAGGCUAGAAAAAUCGUAUCUGCAGCUUUUCAUGAAUAACAAGGCGACAGAAGCGGGAAUAGAAAAGGAUGCACUUCUUGUUUCGCUUCUGUAGAAUGUGGAAAUGAGCUCAUGCCUGGUUAAUCAUAAUUGACCAACACGGCCAGAACAAACCAGAGAACUAAAUACAAGCAAGGAGGUACAGCUGGAUGAGACACGAAUGGCCGGAAAGAGCUGAUUGGUUAACAGAAUGAACCGGGCUGACAAGAACAGGGGAAGCAGCAGCCGAGGACACCUGGAUGACUUUCACAAGCUCCUGGCUGACCUAGUUAAGCAAACACACACACACACAUGGAGGAAGGCGCACAUAACACUUUGCUUUCCGCCCAAUUUGUCCAAGCAAUCCUCUCCCAAACAUAAGAUUCAAAUAGCACAGCCACACCAUGCCUAAACAGGCACAAACAAAAUAGUUGCUCCUGAAUGAAGGGAGGCGGACAUGACAGCUAAUAAUACUCUCGCUAGUUUGGAUGCCGGGCAAAGUUACUCAUUUGCGAGCUACACCUCAAAUAUUGUCUUUGUCUUUUGUGCGGGGCCUUUCCUCUGUGGUGUUUUGACUAUUAUGGCAUUUAUACAGUGUUGUCUACUCACAACACACACACACACACACACACACACACACUGUGCAGUGGGCCUCACACUACAGGAAGCCUGGAAGGCACAGAGAUCUUAUGGAAUGUUUGUGGAGAAAGGUGAGGUGUAAUGGAAUGUAAUUAUGGUCCCAGUUGGCGGCGCUUACAUGCAAACACACACACACACACACUAACUUGCACACAUUUCCAUCAUGAAUAUUGUUGAUUUAAUUGGAUGGGCUAAUCGCUCCCUUCAAAUGUGCUCAACCUUUGUUUCCAUGACAUACUGAGCAGUUAAGUGUGCUUGUGCCUUAAAUUGGUAUUUAUUCAGUUAUUACGUCCAUCUCGACUGUUGGUCAAACCUGCACUUUUAAUACAACAACAUCGUUUUCUUUAAAACAAAACAAAUUUUAACCUUGAAAAUGAAUUCCAUGCUUUUGUUUGUAAAGCUGAUGCAAAUGAUCUUUUUUUUGUUUGUUUUGUUUUAAGUUCCAAGACGUCUCCUGCCAGGAAUGACAUGCUACAUGAAUCAAAACAUUGCAAUUUAAAACAAAAAUCAAUUAUCAAGCUGAGACAGAAUUGUGUUGUUGCUAGGCGGAAUCCAAAUGCUUCCAUCCCAACUGCCCUAGGCGCCAAUGGAAAAAAAAAAAAUAAAUUGCAAAUUUGAAUGACCUCAAAAACCCAAAAAAAAAAAAAGAAAUUUAC